CCAGGGCUGGACAAAAACCUACACAUGACUGAUUUCAUGGCCAGCGCAAAGGGGCUCGUUCCCCCCGCCGGGCUCCGUCCCGGGCCGGCACCGCCGCGCUCCCGCUCUGUGCCCGGCUCUGUCCCUUCAGAAAGGGACACCAACACUCCCAGGUGCUCCUGCAGCGCUGCCCGAGCGAGCCCAGACCUGCUGGGAAGAGAACAUCUGCCAAGAUUUCUGCCUGCAGCUUGGUCCCAGUCUUCCAGCAGCUGCUGUGGCCGUGCUAGCAGGGAAGAGCUUUCAGCCCAAAGAAAGCAAAUGUGGAACAAAAGCCUCUGGAGAUAAAAUGGUCCUUGGACUUUGCCUGGGACAGAUGUGCAUGAGAACUGGCCCCAGCCCACCCCAGGACUGCUGAUACUUCAUGCUCUGGUAACAACUACAGAACCUACUCGCAGGUCUGGUCUUGCUUCACAUCUUUGUCCAGCUGAGCAGGGAACAAGUGUUGGAUUUCUCUCCUCCAGAGCACCAAGCCACCUCCAGCCACCUGGAAAGUAGUUCAAACCUAAAAAGAGGAGGGUUUCAAAAGGCACCUACUUAGAGGAAUGAGGAGAAAAGAGAGGGAGAGGUUUACAGGGAGACAAGCACAACCUCUUGCUGCUGUGCAAGUAGCAGCUACUUUAAAAUGAAUUAUGGCCCAAAGCACCAAAAUCCUUUCAGGAGAGCAGCCUAAGCACAACUGCUGCUGCUUCACAUUCCCAACACAAAAAACCAUCAGCCAUUUCUGGGCUGUGCUGAGCACUGAGAGCAACUGUGCCCCUCUCUGCUCCUCUGUCACUCAGGACAAACUGCAUCCACGUGUGCUGAGGCACUGCAAUCCUGUGAGCCACAUCCCAGCUUCAGGAACACAAAAAUUUCCCAUUUUAUCAUCUGGGAACCAAAGGCCAGAGCAAAUAGGAUGCAUUUCCUCCAUCUAAUAACCCCUCUGCUACAGGCCUGUUCAGCCUGAAAAUGUUGUUUAGCUUAAAGCAACCAUGGUUGUAGUGAGCAAAAUCAUCACCAAUAUGCACAGAAAAGGGAUAAUUAGAGGGGAUAAUUGACACUGGCUGGCACGUUACAGGAACCUGGAGAAUGCUCAGUAGAGAAGGAAGCCAAAGUGAGCACAAAGGAUUGGCUCCUGCUUGAGCCACUAAACUCUGUCCCAGACAGGCACACACAUUUUGAAACCACAGCAGCAGAAGCAAAACUCCAGGGCCUGCAGUUCCUGCGUGACAGAAGAUCCUGCAGCAGGCUUUCAAACAACCUCAUUCAGAGACAGCCUCCCUAGUGAAUAACUGCUUCCAAACCA
rnacentral:lncRNA from 1 species